AAAUGAAUAGACGGGGGCCCGCACAAGCGGUGGAGUAUGUGCUUUAAUUCGAUGCAACGCGAAGAACCUUACCUGGGUUUGACAUGGGGAUGAAAUCUUCCAGAGAUGGGAGACCUUCCUUCGGGAACAUCCUACACAGGUGCUGCAUGGUUGUCGUCAGCUCGUGUCGUGAGAUGUUGGGUUAAGUCCCGCAACGAGCGCAACCCUCGUCCUUAGUUGCCAUCAGGUAAAGCUGGGAACUCUAAGGAGACUGCCUAGUAUAACUAGGAGGAAGGUGGGGAUGACGUCAAAUCAUCAUGGCUCUUACGUCCAGGGCCAGACACGUACUACAAUGGUCGGUACAGCGGGAUGCAAGACUGCGAGGUCAAGCUAAUCCCUUAAAACCGAUCUCAGUUCGGAUUGGAGUCUGCAACUCGACUCCAUGAAGUUGGAAUCGCUAGUAAUCGCGGAUCAGAAUGCCGCGGUGAAUACGUUCCCGGGCCUUGUACACACCGCCCGU
rnacentral:rRNA from 1 species